rnacentral:rRNA from 1 species
UACGGGAGGCAGCAGUGGGGAAUCUUGCGCAAUGGGCGAAAGCCUGACGCAGCCAUGCCGCGUGAAUGAUGAAGGUCUUAGGAUUGUAAAAUUCUUUCACCGGGGACGAUAAUGACGGUACCCGGAGAAGAAGCCCCGGCUAACUUCGUGCCAGCAGCCGCGGUAAUACGAAGGGGCUAGCGUUGCUCGGAAUUACUGGGCGUAAAGGGAGCGUAGGCGGACAUUUAAGUCAGGGGUGAAAUCCCGGGGCUCAACCUCGGAAUUGCCUUUUGAUACUGGGUGUCUUGAGUAUGAGAGAGGUGUGUGGAACUCCGAGUGUAGAGGUGAAAUUCGUAGAUAUUCGGAAGAACACCAGUGGCGAAGGCGACACACUGGCUCAUUACUGACGCUGAGGCUCGAAAGCGUGGGGAGCAAACGAGGGAUUAGGACUACCCGU